CCUCCUACGGGGGGCAGCAGUGAGGAAUAUUGGUCAAUGGACGAGAGUCUGAACCAGCCAAGUAGCGUGAAGGAUGACUGCCCUAUGGGUUGUAAACCUCUUUUGUCGGGGAGCAAAAGCCGGACGUGUCCGGCUGUGAGAGUACCCGAAGAAAAAGCAUCGGCUAACUCCGUGCCAGCAGCCGCGGUAAUACGGAGGAUGCGAGCGUUAUCCGGAUUUAUUGGGUUUAAAGGGUGCGCAGGCGGAUUUUUAAGUCAGCGGUCAAAUCGUGGGGCUCACCCCCAUCCAGCCGUUGAACCUGGGGG
rnacentral:rRNA from 1 species